GCCUUCGUGGUGUAGUGGUCAGCACGUUCGGCGGGUAACCGAGAGGUCCGUGGUUCGAUACCAGGCGAAGGCG
rnacentral:tRNA from 1 species